GCCCGGGAAAAAACAGAAUGUCGUCAUUCCAGCCCCAGGCUGAAACACAUUAUCGCCUUUCUCAAGUGGCCGAUCAAGAGACACUGGCUUAUGCGCGUGACCCCGACCGCCCCCGCCUUUGGGAUUUUUUCCUCUGUUUGCCGAAAAGGAGAUUCCCUGUCGGAAUAUUGUCGCUUUUCUACGAGAAAAAUGUCGUAAAAAUUGAUUUUAAACAGCGGUUGACAUGCUUCGAAGUACGGUAAUGGAAUACUUAGAAUUUUAUUGUCACGAAUUGCGCCAUGCGCGUGACACUUCUUUACUAUUUCGGAUAGUGUCUUGAACGCAUACGAACAAAACGCCGCUAUUCGGAUAUAACGAUGGAUUAUUUUGGACCAAACCAACAUUUGUUAUUGAAGUAGCAGUCCUGGGUGUGUAUUCUGACGAAGACAACAAAAGGUGAAUUACAGGAGAAGGUGAUUCACUCAAUCCAACCAGGAGACUGGGUGUGGAUCCAGUCCCUGAGGAGAAAAAACUGGAAGCAACACCGUUGGGAAGGCCCAUACCAGGUUCUUUUAAACCACUGCCUUUGCCAUUAGAAAAGCUGAGAGAGUCACUUGGGUCCACGUUACCCACUGCAAGGAGGUAUGUACACAUAUGAACACUGCUGAUCACACACAGAGUUAGGAGAAGAACCGAUACCAACAUGGUCCGGGGGUUACCUCUUUAACGAAGAUUCCCUAUCCCGACCGUUCAUCACUGUGUGUGCUCCUAGAGGUGUGAGUAUGGGGUGGUACCUAGCAGAUCGACUAAGGGCAGGAGAGGGUUGGCGGUUUUUGGGAAGAGUAGAGACUCUGAGCUGCAUCAUAGUUUUGGUAACCUUUCUGAUACAUUCAGAUCCACCACCUUCCGGUACUAAUCAUUGGAUACCGUUGUCAUUGAGAAGAAGUAGAAGAUAAACUAUAUAAUACACUGAUGAGUGACAUACAGAAUAAGGAAUCAAAGAAGAUCAAGAUGUAGAAUUUAAGGUAAACAUUAAACAAUUUCCUGGGGAAGCAGACAACUGUACAGGAAUUGGGGUUGGCCAGAUUGAAGUACUCAGCCAACCCACCUCGGUUCACCUAAAUUCCGGAUGAAUACCAGUGUUAUAGAUACAAGAAUGGCACCGAGAACUUAGAUGAUUUUAAUGGCUGAAAGUAAUCGUUAACCUGUUAGGGCUAGGGGGCAGUAUUGACACGGCUGGAUAAAAAACGUACCCGAUUUAAUCUGGUUACUACUCCUGCCCAGUAACUAGAAUAUGCAUAUAAUUAUUGGCUUUGGAUAGAAAACACCCUAAAGUUUCUACAACUAUUUGAAUGGUGUCUGUGAGUAUAACAGAACUCAUAUGGCUGGCCAAAACCUGAGAAGAUUUCAAGCAGGAAGUGGCCUGUCUGAGAAGUAGUUUUUCAUCUUGGCUCUUUUUAUUGAAGACUCAGGAUCUGUGCAAUAACGUGACACUUCCUACGGCUUCCAUAGGUUCUCAGAGCCCGGGAAAAAGCUGAACGAUAUCGAUGCAGGCUCUGGCUGAAACACAUUAUCGCGUUUGGCAAUUGGCCACUCAGAGUACUAUGGGCUUAGGCGCGUGCCCGCUUCGACUGAAUGCUUUCUUUUCCUUUGUCUGUUUACCUAAAAGCAGAUUCCCGGUCGGAAUAUUAUCGCUUUUUUAUGAGAAAAAUGGCAUAAAAAUUGAUUUUAAACAGCGGUUGACAUGCUUCGAAGUACGGUAAUGGAAUAUUUAGAAUUUUUUUGUCACGAAUUGCACCAUGCUCGCCACCCUUAUUUACCCUUUAGGAUAGUGUCUAGAACGCACGAACAAAACGCCGCUGUUUGGAUAUAACGAUGGAUUAUUUUGGACCAAACCAACAUUUGUUAUUGAAGUAGAAGUCCUGGGAGUGCAUUCUGACGAAGACAACAAAGGACUCUAGAGAGAUCGAUGACGCAGCAGAUGGUGAGAUAUGGACCAAUUCCGAGCUCCGAUCAGUGGGAUGGCGAAUGCGGGCCUCCAGGCCAGGAAGAUGGCUCCGUUUCUUUCAAUAACGAGGAGCCAAUGUUUGAUGAAACAAUUUUCAACGUUUAGAUAGAAUUUUCAAUGUUUUGAUAGACUGUUCCUUUAAUGAAAAUGAUGAUGAAAAUCCUGAAUCGAAGUGUCAUAAUUGGAAAUAGGCCUAGGACAGUAAUGGAG
rnacentral:lncRNA from 1 species